GUACCAGUGUUCAAACAGCCAGCUAUAUGAGUCUGUCAAGCACAUCCUGACUGAUUAUCUGCCACAGCUGCUCAUGAUGAAUCCUGAGCUCUUUGCACACUGCAUAGAGCAGAUCCUGACUACAAGACGGAAAGAGCAGCUGAGGUCCAAAGCAAGUGAAAAGAUGUGGAUGAAGAUCGAGGCACUCGCUAAGUCCAAAACAC